rnacentral:tRNA from 1 species
GCCUUCAUGGUGCAACUGGUAGCACACUCGGUGCAUAUUUGAGAGGUCCAGGUUUGAGUCCCAGUGAGGGCA